UUAGGAAUCUUCCACAAUGGGCGCAAGCCUGACGGAGCAAUACCGCGUGAGGGAGGAAGGCUUUUGGGUUGUAAACCUCUUUUAAUAAGGAAGAAGAAGUGACGGUACUUAUUGAAUCAGCAUCGGCUAACUCCGUGCCAGCAGCCGCGGUAAUACGGAGGAUGCAAGCGUUAUCCGGAAUCAUUGGGCGUAAAGCGUCCGCAGGUGGCAAGUCAAGUCUGCUGUUAAAGACAGAAGCUCAACUUCUGAUCGGCAGUGGAAACUGGUUUGCUUGAGUAUGGUAGGGGUUGAGGGAAUUCCCAGUGUAGCGGUGAAAUGCGUAGAGAUUGGGAAAAACACCAGUGGCGAAGGCGCUCAACUGGGCCAUAACUGACACUCAGGGACGAAAGCUAGGGUAGCGAAAGGGAUUAGAUACCCCUGUAGUCC
rnacentral:rRNA from 1 species